rnacentral:rRNA from 1 species
AUACGGAGGAUCCGAGCGUUAUCCGGAUUUAUUGGGUUUAAAGGGUGCGCAGGCGGCCAUUUAAGUCAGCGGUUAAAUCGUGGGGCUCAACCCCAUUCUGCCGUUGAUACUGGGUGGCUUGAUUGCGGUCGAGGUUGGCGGAAUUCGUUGUGUAGCGGUGAAAUGCAUAGAUAUGACGAAGAACACCGAUUGCGUAGGCAGCUGACCAGACCGCAAAUGACGCUCAUGCACGAAAGUGCGGGGAUCGAACAGGAUUAGAUACCCUGGUAGUCCGCACAGUAAACGAUGAAUACUCGCUGUUUGCGAUACACUGUAAGCGGCCAAGCGAAAGCGUUAAGUAUUCCACCUGGGGAGUACGCCGGCAACGGUGAAACUCAAAUGAAUUGGCGGGG